rnacentral:rRNA from 1 species
CCUACGGGGGGCUGCAGUCGAGAAUCAUUCACAAUGGGGGAAACCCUGAUGGUGCGACGCCGCGUGGGGGAAUGAAGGUCUUCGGAUUGUAAACCCCUGUCAUGUGGGAGCAAAUUAAAAAGAUAGUACCACAAGAGGAAGAGACGGCUAACUCUGUGCCAGCAGCCGCGGUAAUACAGAGGUCGCAAGCGUUGUUCGGAAUCACUGGGCGUAAAGCGUGCGUAGGCUGUUUCGUAAGUCGUGUGUGAAAGGCGCGGGCUCAACCCGCGGACGGCACAUGAUACUGCGAGACUAGAGUAAGGGAGGGGGAACCGGAAUUCUCGGUGUAGCAGUGAAAUGCGUAGAUAUCGAGAGGAACACUCGUGGCGAAGGCGGGUUCCUGGACAUUAACUGACGCUGAGGCACGAAGGCCAGGGGAGCGAAAGGGAUUAGAUACCCGAGUAGUC